rnacentral:rRNA from 1 species
AGCUCCAAUAGCGUAUAUUAAAGUUGUUGCAGUUAAAAAGCUCGUAGUUGAAUUUCUGGCCAGCGCUGUUCUCGGCUCUCGCAGUCGGUUCAGUGUUUGGUCAUCCGUAUGGGAAGCUAGCUCGGCCUUCACUGGUCGGCUAGUGGAUCAUACACUUUACUUUGAAAAAAUUAGAGUGUUUCAGGCAGGCAAUUGCUUGGAUACUUCAGCAUGGAAUAAUGGAAUAGGACUUUGACCUAUUUGUUGGUUUCUUCGAGGUCAAGGUAAUGAUUAAUAGGGACAGUUGGGGGCAUUCAUAUUUAAUUGUCAGAGGUGAAAUUCUUGGAUUUAUUAAAGAUGAACUUAUGCGAAAGCAUUUGCCAAGGAUGUUUUCA